rnacentral:rRNA from 1 species
AUUGAACGCUGGCGGCAGGCCUAACACAUGCAAGUCGAGCGGAUGAAGGGAGCUUGCUCCUGGAUUCAGCGGCGGACGGGUGAGUAAUGCCUAGGAAUCUGCCUGGUAGUGGGGGAUAACGUCCGGAAACGGGCGCUAAUACCGCAUACGUCCUGAGGGAGAAAGUGGGGGAUCUUCGGACCUCACGCUAUCAGAUGAGCCUAGGUCGGAUUAGCUAGUUGGUGGGGUAAAGGCCUACCAAGGCGACGAUCCGUAACUGGUCUGAGAGGAUGAUCAGUCACACUGGAACUGAGACACGGUCCAGACUCCUACGGGAGGCAGCAGUGGGGAAUAUUGGACAAUGGGCGAAAGCCUGAUCCAGCCAGGCCGCGUGUGUGAAGAAGGUCGUCGGAUUGUAAAGCACUUUAAGUUGGGAGGAAGGGCAGUAAGUUAAUACCUUGCUGUUUUGACGUUACCAACAGAAUAAGCACCGGCUAACUUCGUG